GUUGUUUUGAAAAGAGAGUCAAGGUAGAGUCCAAAAACUGAUUGAUAGGAUCCUACUGGAUUCCACGUUGGAAUACGGUGUACGGGAUAAAAACCCAAACCAUCCACCGGAAAAACCAAAUCCCCCGCCUCUAUAAGUAUCCCCACCGCCGAUCACUUAUCAACACAACAACACUCACAACUCUCUUUUCCUUUCGAUUCUCAACACUCAACAAACGCCUUAAGGAGAAGCUUUCUACAUUUUAUGGAUUAUAGACAUCUUCUAGAAGAGGAAGUUGCGAGGGAAUCUCUCAUCGCCAUUUCAAACGGUGUUGGUGAAGAAAUUGUUUAUUUACCAGAGUCUGAAAAUGGAAACGGCGUAGAAGAUGCUACAGUUAUCCAUAAUGCUAAAAUCAAGACCAUUGAAGAUGAACUGAUCAGAUCAGAAUUGAUAUCAAUUGCUGCUUUUGAAUCAUCGGCGGCUGAUAACAACAGUGACGAAUCUUGAACUCCUGAUGUUUAAAUUUUUUUAAAUAUUAUGAUACAUUCCAAAAUCUUAAGAUUGUUACUUGACUUUCUAAUAGAUGGUAACAUUUUGCCCUAUCAUUAUCGUAAUGAAAAUAAGUGUAAAUUAUUAUGCAUAUCAAUGUUGCAAUUUUAAUGUGUUAGGCUCGAGCCUACAUUUAUAUAAUAUAUUAUAUAUAAUUUUGAAUUUUA